rnacentral:rRNA from 1 species
GACAGAGGGUGCAAACGUUGUUCGGAAUUACUGGGCGUAAAGCGCAUGUAGGCGGCCAAGCAGGUCGGAUGUGAAAGCCCUCGGCUCAACCAAGGAAGUGCAUUCGAAACCGCAUGGCUCGAGUCCCGGAGAGGAUGGUGGAAUUCUCGGUGUAGAGGUGAAAUUCGUAGAUAUCGAGAGGAACACCGGCGGCGAAGGCGGCCAUCUGGACGAGGACUGACGCUGAGGAGCGAAAGCUAGGGGAGCAAACGGG